rnacentral:rRNA from 1 species
ACACUGGUGAUGACCAGUACGGCGAGUGAGCGGCAACAGCUCAAAUUUGAAAUCUGGCUCUCGGGCCCGAGUUGUAAUUUGUAGAGGAUGCUUUUGGUGAGGUGCCUUCCGAGUUCCCUGGAACGGGACGCCAUAGAGGGUGAGAGCCCCGUCUGGUUGGACACCGAUCCUCUGUAAAGCUCCUUCGACGAGUCGAGUAGUUUGGGAAUGCUGCUCUAAAUGGGAGGUAUAUGUCUUCUAAAGCUAAAUACCGGCCAGAGACCGAUAGCGCACAAGUAGAGUGAUCGAAAGAUGAAAAGAACUUUGAAAAGAGAGUUAAACAGUACGUGAAAUUGUUGAAAGGGAAGCGCUUGUGACCAGACUUGGGCUUGGUUGAUCAUCCGGGGUUCUCCCCGGUGCACUCUUCCGGCCCAGGCCAGCAUCAGUUCGCCCUGGGGGACAAAGGCUUCGGGAAUGUGGCUCUCUCCGGGGAGUGUUAUAGCCCGUUGCGUAAUACCCUGUGGCGGACUGAGGUUCGCGCAUUCGCAAGGAUGCUGGCGUAAUGGUCAUCAGUGACCCGUCUUGAACCACGGACCA